CGCGGGCUAUUCCGCUUCUAACCGUCCCCUUGUGGGACAAACUAUUGACCAUUUGACCUCAAAUC
rnacentral:rRNA from 1 species